UUGACCUCGGAUCAGGUAGGAG
rnacentral:rRNA from 2 species